rnacentral:rRNA from 1 species
AUUGAACGCUGGCGGCAUGCCUUACACAUGCAAGUCGAACGGCAGCGGGGGAGAAGCUUGCUUUUCCUGCCGGCUAGUGGCGAACGGGUGAGUAAUACAUCGGAACGUGCCCUGUAGUGGGGGAUAAGUAGUCGAAAGAUUAGCUAAUACCGCAUACGACCUGAGGGUGAAAGUGGGGGACCGCAAGGCCGCAUGCUCUAGGACCGGCCGAUGUCUGAUUAGCUAGUUGGUGGGGUAAAGGCCUACCAAGGCGACGAUCAGUAGCGGGUCUGAGAGGACGAUCAGCCACACUGGGACUGAGACACGGCCCAGACUCCUACGGGAGGCAGCAGGGGGGAAUUUUGGACAAUGGGCGAAAGCCUGAUCCAGCAAUGCCGCGUGUGUGAAGAAGGCCUUCGGGUUGUAAAGCACUUUUGUCCGGAAAGAAAUGGCUCUGGUUAAUACCUGGGGUCGAUGACGGUACCGGAAGAAUAAGGACCGGCUAACUACGUGCCAGCCGCCGCCGUAA